AGUGAACGCUGGCGGCAGGCCUAACACAUGCAAGUCGAACGGCAGCACGGCAGUAGCAAUACUGUGGGUGGCGAGUGGCGGACGGGUGAGGAAUACAUCGGGAUCUACCCUGUUGUGGGGGAUAACGUAGGGAAACUUACGCUAAUACCGCAUAAGAACUGAGGUUGAAAGCGGCGGACCGCAAGGCGUCGCGCGAUUGGAUGAACCGAUGUCCGAUUAGCUAGUUGGCGGGGUAAAGGCCCACCAAGGCGACGAUCGGUAGCUGGUCUGAGAGGACGACCAGCCACACUGGAACUGAGACACGGUCCAGACUCCUACGGGAGGCAGCAGUGGGGAAUAUUGGACAAUGGGCGCAAGCCUGAUCCAGCCAUGCCGCGUGGGUGAAGAAGGCCUU
rnacentral:rRNA from 1 species